rfam:Crassostrea gigas strain 05x7-T-G4-1.051#20 contig7658, whole genome shotgun sequence.
UGCAAUGAUGUUCACUCACGAUGGUCUUCUGAAAAAUUAACUUGAAGACAAUGCCUUAUGGCUUUACUGAGCUUGACU